rnacentral:rRNA from 1 species
UGGGGAAUAUUGCACAAUGGGGGAAAUCCUGAUGCAGCCAUGCCGCGUGUGUGAAGAAGGCCUUCGGGUUGUAAAGCACUUUCAGCGAGGGGGAAGGGUUAGUAGUUAAUACCUGCUAGCUUUGACGUUACUCGCAGAAGAAGCACCGGCUAACUCCGUGCCAGGAGCCGCGGUAAUACGGAGGGUGCGAGCGUUAAUCGGAAUUACUGGGCGUAAAGCGUACGCAGGCGGUCAUUUAAGUCAGAUGUGAAAGCCCCGGGCUCAACCUGGGAACUGCAUUUGAAACUGGAUGACUAGAGUGCGGCAGAGGGUGGUAGAAUUUCAGGUGUAGCGGUGAAAUGCGUAGAGAUCUGAAGGAAUACCGAUGGCGAAGGCAGCCACCUGGGCCGACACUGACGCUCAUGUACGAAAGCGUGGGUAGCAAACAGGAUUAGAUACCCCGGUAGUCC